UGAAGUGUUUGCGAAUAUUUACCCAAUGGCAAAUGGCAAAUUUUUUAAGUCGACUUAUGCUAUUGCGUCGUUAAAAAGACAUCAUCAAUCAACAAUGUUUUGGUGCUUUUUUAAAGUUUAUUCUUCAUAUUAUAUUCAAUAAUAACAUAAGCUCAAGUUAACAACACAACAAAACCUAUGGAAUUGUGGAAAAGGCGAUGAAAUAAGCUGGACACAUAAAUGGCACAACCCAGAAAUACAAGAAAAAGUUAAAGGAAAAUGUAUUUUUAUCAAGAAUGGGAAGUUAUUGACAAAAAAAUUAAUGCGCUCGGAUUACCUGUGCAGAAUGGCGGUGUGGAAAGAUUUCUAAUUUAAAGUGAAGACAACAUGAUGAACGGCAAAAAAGAGUCAGGAACAACAAGCAAAUGAAAACAAAAAAUUUCCCGUUCACAAAGGUUUCGUUUCGCCUGCAUUGUUUGUACAGAAUAUCUAAACAAAGACGAAGCGAUGAAAGUGACGAUGAACAUUGACGAUCGUCAGCGAAGAUGUAGCCGAUAUUCAGCAGAUUAUUGAUUCAAUAGUACUCAAUAGAAACAUGGUGCCAAAAAUUUUCUAUCACGUAUAUUUUAGCUUUAUAUUAUAUUAGUCUUAUUCAAAUGCAAUUGGCCUUCCACUCCGUGAAGC
rnacentral:lncRNA from 1 species